AUUGAACGCUGGCGGCAGGCCUAACACAUGCAAGUCGAACGAGUGGCGGACGGGGGGGUAAUGUCUGGGAAACGGCGUGACGGAGGGGGAUAACGACUGGAAACGGUAGCUAAUACAGCAUACCAUCGGAUGUGCCCAGUUGGGAUUAGCUAGUAGGAGGGGUAAAGGCUCACCUAGGCGACGAUCCCUAGCUGGUCUGAGAGGAUGACCAGCCACACUGGAACUGAGACACGGUCCAGACUCCUACGGGAGGCAGCAGUGGGGAAUAUUGCACAAUGGGCGCAAGCCUGAUGCAGCCAUGCCGCGUGUAUGAAGAAGGCCUUCGGGUUGUAAAGUACUUUCAGCGGGGAGGCGUUACCCGCAGAAGAAGCACCGGCUAACUCCGUGCCAGCCGCCGCGGUAAUAC
rnacentral:rRNA from 1 species